rnacentral:misc_RNA from 1 species
UGUAUCUUCAGGGCUGGUAACUGCAAAAAGGAAAACCGAAUGGUUGAAUAAUUUAAUAUACCGCAUAAACAAAUUUUUCUUUCAUUUGGUUUUUCUUUUUUGGACUCAUCAUAUUGAAAACAAAAUGAGAUGAUUGUAUUUCCUCAUUGCAUUAAAUACAUCCAUGGAUAUGUUGAAUUUGAAAUCUUUUGACUGACCUGUGUGACCCACAGUUCGUUCUG